GUUAAUCAGCAUGCAAAUCCUGAGUUGUUUUUGCUAUAGACAUCCUCACUGUGGCCUAACCACAGAUGUCUCCAGCAGGUAUGUUGUCCUGCUAAUCAGGACAACAGCAAAGAUGCUGCCUACCCUGUGGUGGAAGGGAGGACUCAGGAAAGCUUCUUUCCCCCUGUUUCUGGGUUGUCCUCAUUGCUCAGGAAAUAAAGAUUUCAAGCCUAAAACUUAAAAAGACAUACAUAAAAUCUUAAAAUAUCAAUUUGCUUUUCCCUCCUCUUCUGUCUUUCCAGUGAUUGAGACUUUGAUUAAAGCAUUCUCCAGUAAAGGGAGAAAUAUUUAGAAGCUGAGAUUUAACUAAUUUGGCCACAUCCUGGUAUAUAUUUCCAUAUUAUUCUUUAGUAAAUGAUAGAUGAAUUGUGGUCGACUAAAAUGCAAAUAUCCCUUUUUUUUUAACCCCUAAUUUAUAGGCAAUAAUCCCAAGAGAAUGGCCCAAGUUAUGUGGCAUUCUGCCAGAAACCAAAAAUUUUAGGAAGAGUUGUUUUCCUAAGAGUAUUUUCAGUUUUAAACCAGUGUCUUUUAACCCAACAAUGCAUUUAAAUCUUCUUUCAGUUUUUGUUUUCAUUUUAUGUUGUUCAUCAGUUCAUUGCCUACCAAGGAAUGGCAAAAACCCUCCUCCACUGUGUCCCCA
rnacentral:lncRNA from 1 species